rnacentral:rRNA from 1 species
AGAGCGCAGGGAGGAUGCCUUGGCAUCAGGAGCCGAAGAAGGACGUGGUAAGCUGCGAAAAGCUACGGGGAUUGGCAAGCACGAUAUGAUCCGUAGAUGUCCGAAUGGAGCAAUCCACAUGGAGUCAAGUCCAUGUAUCAUAUACUGAAUAAAUAGGUAUAUGAGGGGAACCGCCCGAACUGAAACAUCUAAGUAGGGCGAGGAAAAGAAAUCAACCGAGAUUCUGUGAGUAGUGGCGAGCGAAAGCGGAAGAGGCUAAACCGAGAGGAGCAAUCCUUUCGGGGUUUAGGACUGCAUUUAGUACAAUGAUUGUUAACCGAACAGCAUGGGAAGGCUGAUCAAAGAAGGUGAGAAUCCUGUAGGUGAAAACGAAAGUUGACGAGCAGUAUCCAAAGUACCGCGGGGCACGUGAAAUCCCGUGGGAAGAUGGGGGGACCAUCCUCCAAGCCUAAAUACUACCUGAUGACCGAUAGCGAAAAGUACUGUGAAGGAAAGGUGAAAAGCACCCCGGGAGGGGAGUGAAAGAGAACCUGAAACCCUGUGCUUACAAGCACUUAGAGCACGUCAAAGUGUGAUAAGGUACCUAUUGUAGAAUGGUCCGGCGAGUUAUUGUAUGCAGCGAGGUUAAGUAGUUCAGCUACGGAGCCGAAGUGAGAGCGAGUGUUAACAGCACGUUCAGUUGCAUGCAAUAGACCCGAAACCGGGUGACCUAUCCAUGUCCAGGAUGAAGUGAGGGUAAAACCUCAUGGAGGUCCGAACCCACUCCCGUUGAAAUGGUAGGGGAUGAGGUGUGGAUAGCGGAGAAAUUCCAAUCGAACCCGGAUAUAGCUGGUUCUCCCCGAAAUAGUUUUAGGACUAGCCUCGUGAUUAAGAUUAUCGGAGGUAAAGCACUGAAUGGCCUAGGGGUCGAGAGAUUACCGAAGCCUAUCAAACUCUGAAUGCCGAAUAAUCAUGCACGGGAGUCAGACUGUGUGAGAUAAGUUUCAUAGUCGAAAGGGAAACAGCCCAGACCUACAGCUAAGGUCCCAAAGUACGUUUAAGUGGAAAACGAUGUGAAAUUGCGUAGACAACCAGGAUGUUGGCUUAGAAGCAGCCAUACAUUAAAAGAGUGCGUAAUAGCUCACUGGUCGAGUGACUUUGCGCGGAAAAUUUAACGGGGCUAAAACGUACACCGAAGCUUAGGCUUGCAACUAUGUUGCAGGGGUAGGGGAGCGUUGAAUGAGGGGUGAAGUCGUAGCGAAAGCGACGGUGGACUUCAUUCAAGUGAGAAUGCCGGAAUGAGUAGCGAGAAUUAUGUGAGAAUCAUAAUGGCCGAAAGCCUAAGGUUUUUGGAGGAAGGUUCGUCCGCUCCAAGUAAGUCGGAAGCUAAGGUGAGGCUGAAAAGCGUAGCCGAUGCACAAACGGUUGAAAUUCCGUUACCACAGAAAGAUUUAAACUAAGGGACACUUUUGAAGAGCUGAUGCCGGGUGUUGGUUACCCCGGUCGUAAGGGAACGAAAUCAAGUAGUGAAGUCAGCGUGGAUGAAGGCGAGAAAAGCUUAGUGUAUAUCUUAUGUGUCCGUACCGCAAACCGACACAGGUAGGUAGGAAGAGAAUUCUAAGGCCAACGGGAGAAGGGUAGUUAAGGAACUCGGCAAAAUGUCCCCGUAACUUCGGAAUAAGGGGAGGUUUCUACGGAAACCCGCAGAGAAUAGUCCCAGGCAACUGUUUAUCAAAAACACAGCUCUAUGCUAAAUCGAAAGAUGACGUAUAUGGGGUGACGCCUGCCCGGUGCCGGAAGGUUAAGAGGAGGAGUGAGAGCCCUGAAUCGAAGCCCCGGUAAACGGCGGCCGUAACUAUAACGGUCCUAAGGUAGCGAAAUUCCUUGUCAGGUAAGUUCUGACCCGCACGAAUGGCGUAAUGAUCUGGGAGCUGUCUCAACUGCCCGCCCGGCGAAAUUGUAGUACCGGUGAAGAUGCCGGUUACCCGCGACUAGACGGAAAGACCCCAUGGAGCUUUACUGUAGCUUAAUAUUGGAUUUCGGCAUUUCAUGUACAGGAUAGGUGGGAGACUAGGAAACAUAGGCGUCAGCUUAUGUGGAGUCGUCCUUGGGAUACCACUCUUGGAGUGCUGAAAUUCUAACCUGCAGCCCUGAAUCGGGUUGGGGGACAUUGUUAGGUGGGCAGUUUGACUGGGGCGGUCGC